rnacentral:rRNA from 1 species
GACGAACGCUGGCGGCGCGCUUAACACAUGCAAGUCGAACGAGACUUUUCGUUGUAGCAAUACGAUGGAAAGUUUAGUGGCGAACGGGUGCUUAACACGUGGGCAACCUGCCAGGAAGUGGGGGAUAGCUCGCCGAAAGGCGAAUUAAUACCGCAUGUGAUUAGAAAGGACAUCCUUUCGAAAUUAAAGUCGGGGCAACCUGACGCUUCUUGUGGGGCCCGCGGCCGAUCAGCUAGUUGGUGAGGUAAUGGCUCACCAAGGCUUUGACGGGUAGCUGGUCUGAGAGGACGACCAGCCACACUGGGACUGAGACACGGCCCAGACACCUACGGGUGGCAGCAGUCGAGAAUUUUUGACAAUGGGGGAAACCCUGAUCGAGCGACGCCGCGUGGAGGAUGAAGGUCUUCGGAUUGUAAACUCCUGUCAUUGGGGAACAAGGUGCAUACGUUAACUGCGUGUGCAUUGAUAGUACCCGAAGAGGAAGAGACGGCUAACUCUGUGCCAGCAGCCGCGGUAAUAC